CCCACUGUCACCCAGCUACAUGCCUGUUCCCCAUCUGUCUUAUCUCCUCCCUCUCCACUACCUGUCCCCACUAAACUCUGCUCAGUGAGCAGUAGACUCCUCUCAAGAUUGUCAAUCUCCCUCAAAGUUGCGAUUUGCUUCUCGAGAUCUCCAAUCUCAGCUUCCAGAGAAGCCACUCGCACACAACCAUCACAGAGGUAUGGACACUGGACAAUUACCUUGUUAGUUUAAACUCCUUGUUAGUUUCAACUCCUGGUUUUCUAACUCCUACUUGAAAGAGUCUACUUAAUAGAGGCUGUUUUCAAAUAAUGUAAGCAAGCUCAGUGAGUUAGGGGUGUGCCUUUAUGGGGAUACAAAUCCCACACAGGUGCAAUUGAUGAACACUCCCCCAAUCAAUCAAGCAGCAGCACAAAAAAAGGGGGGGAAACCAGAACACAGAAAAAAAAAAGUAAAUUUAAAAAACAAAAAUUCAUUUUUUUUUUUCUAAACCUUACCAAUUUUAAAGAUUAAACAAAAAUAAAAUACAAACCACUCUCCACAGUAUACAAACCACUCCAAGUAACUCCUGGUUUUCUAACUCCUACUUGAAAGAGUCUAAUGAGUAAUUUACCU